rnacentral:lncRNA from 1 species
AUGCCUGCUGUUUCAGGGUUGACAGAACACUGUGAACCUCCGGUAAAACUCAACAUCUCCUGGUGCCUAAGGAGCUCCCACUGCUUCGACGAGGUAUUCGGUCUCCACCCUCUGAAGGCAGGGAGCUACUUCAGAACGACAACUGUGAAGCAGGAAGGAUGCAGUGGGUUCCAUGUGUUUUAUCAGUACCCUGCCAUUGAGUGCAAACGGCACAUGACCCACAGUGAGCCUGUCACUGUCAAGGACAAAGAGAUGAGGAAAAGGAGCGCUGAGAAUCCAAAGGAGACAGUUGCUGUCAAAGCAGAGGCAGCUGUGGCCACAGGCAAAGCCCCAGCCCCCGCUGCAAAGAAACAAGUGGUGAGUGUUUCCUUGUCACCUAAGAGCCAUGCCAGAAUGAAGACACAGUUGAAGUCAGAAGUUUGCAUACACCUUAGCCAAAAACAUUUAAACUCAAUUUUUCACAAUUCCUGA